rnacentral:rRNA from 1 species
CUUCCGUAGGUGAACCUGCGGAAGGAUCAUUACCUAGAGUUUGUGGACUUCGGUCUGCUACCUCUUACCCAUGUCUUUUGAGUACCUUCGUUUCCUCGGCGGGUCCGCCCGCCGGUUGGACAACAUUCAAACCCUUUGCAGUUGCAAUCAGCGUCUGAAAAAACUUAAUAGUUACAACUUUCAACAACGGAUCUCUUGGUUCUGGCAUCGAUGAAGAACGCAGCGAAAUGCGAUAAGUAGUGUGAAUUGCAGAAUUCAGUGAAUCAUCGAAUCUUUGAACGCACAUUGCGCCCCUUGGUAUUCCAUGGGGCAUGCCUGUUCGAGCGUCAUUUGUACCUUCAAGCUCUGCUUGGUGUUGGGUGUUUUGUCUCGCCUCCGCGCGCAGACUCGCCUUAAAACAAUUGGCAGCCGGCGUAUUGAUUUCGGAGCGCAGUACAUCUCGCGCUUUGCACUCAUAACGACGACGUCCAAAAGUACAUUUUUACACUCUUGACCUCGGAUCAGGUAGGGAUACCCGCUGAACUUAAGCAUAUCAAUAAGCGGAGGAA